CAGAGCUUUCCACCAAGCCCAGUGAGAGGGCCAAGCUCCUGUCCCAGUACCAAUGCUGGUGCUGCUUCCUGCUGCUGCUGAAGAGAGCCCAGCCAGAAUCAAAUGAUCUAAAUGGGUUUAAGAGUAGAGCACUUCACCUGCCAGUUGGGUCUUAUUUUUCUGAAGAUAUGCUUUUCUUUUGUGAUCACGGAUCCCUUAGCCUUGAUCUUUCAAGAGCUGCCUGGGUGUUUGAAGAGCAACUUACCUUCCACUGAAGGGAAUCUUCCCACGUCUCCCUCCCCAGGAACUGAAGACAGAGAGGCCAAAGUGCGGUCCCUGCUGUCAAGGAUUCUGCCCUCUUCUUGGGGAAGCAAGACCCAUAUUCCUGGGAGAAAGACAGGUAAGUUAAGACCCAACCUGGUGCUUCCAAUAAGGGUGUAUGUGAGAAUAAGGAAAUAUUCAGACCAUUUUCCUAACCCAAACCGUCUAUCCCUUCUUUAGCCCAGCCUAUUGUGUCAAUUUUUUUCCCUCUGUUUCUCUUCCUCGAUUUAGUUGAGAAGGGGCAUAGAGUUAGAGAUGCCUAUAUAUGAUCUCCUUCAUCAAAUGUCUGCCUCUAACUUUUAAGCAGAUACUUCUAC
rnacentral:lncRNA from 1 species